rnacentral:lncRNA from 1 species
UUAUUAAGGAGGUCAGGUCUCUUAAUGAGCUUUAGGCAUUCCCAGAGAGUUUUCCAAUAUUGCAAGACAUACCUGGCCCCAGGCAGGACAGCUGCAGCCCUGCCAACACCUAAGCAGUGCAGACAGAUCCCAUGUGACAGGUUAUGUAACAGAGUGGGGCUUUAUAUAUCUCAGGCCCUAGAGCAUGGAAAGGGCUCGAGGGAAAGGAGCAUCAGGUGAGCAAGAAAUGUUUGCAUGCUGUCUUUCUUGGGGUGCUUUUGGCACUGUAGCAAACUGCAUUAGGCUUAAUCUUGUGUUUCAUGAAGACGCCAACUUGUAAAACAUUCUGGGGUUUAGUAAUGUUUUGUGUGCUCUAGAAUUGUAGGGGCUGAAAUUCUACGAAGACUCAGAAAUCAUGGUUAUUCCUCUCCGGAGAAUGACACCUGGGUAUAUAAGGUUGCUGCAGACUCAAGCUGCAGCAAAGAUCGUUACCAACCCGUCAGACACAGCGCUGCAGCGGGCGGCACUGCUCCUGGGAGUGUUCGGGAUCAGCAUAUCCAGCUACAGCACACACCAGCUAACUCAAACAAAAAGAUUCCCCUUGACCACUUAGGCUGUGCUAGGAUGUGACCCCACAAGUCCAGGCUUAUGUCAAUACUGCUGAUGAGUGGCUUUGCUGCCGCUGGUACCCCAUGGAGGUAAUGAGACACUUUGCAGCUGUGAUUUCUACAUGCAAAGUUAAAUAGAUGGAAUGACUGCAGACUUCAUCAAGAAAGAAAAAAAAAAUAACUGCUCUCAGCUUUGGAUUUCCAAACAAGACAAACUUUCUGUAAAUGUUAUGGAUUUCUUUUGUUAUUCAGUGUAUACAUAGAGAUCUAAAGGUAUAAAAUACAGUUACGUUCAGAGUAGCUGUAAACACACCAGUGUGGGUGCUGGGCUCUGGGAGUGUCACUGCAUUGCAAAUGACUCCAAUGAAAAGACUGUUUUUGCAGAGAAGAAGUUAAUAAUAAGAAAUAAAUUCCUCAUGACAAGGGUUAGAACA